GCCUCAGCUUCUCUUCCCUUGGGAUUACAGUGUACGGUGCUCAGAUCUGCUUGGAGGGAGAAACGACCCCUCCCGCCCACCUCCGCGCCCUGCCUGCUGGCACGCACCGCGCUACCUCCAGGACAGACUGCUUCUCCUUUCGCCCCCCGCCCAGCUAGAACCCAAGGGCCCCUCGGCAGCCUGAUUCAAGCCUCUGUGCCUGCUGGCGGCUCUCCUGCCUUCUCCGGCCACACCUGGCAGGCCAGCCUUCCCCCUGCAGCAGGCCUGGGCCCUCCCUCCAUCCCCCAGGGGAGCGAGGCGCCCGCAGUGUGGGUACAGAAAGUCCCCCUGAGCUACCCUCCCACGCGGCUCCGUGGCAGGGGCUGCAGCCCUGCCAACAGAACCCAUGCAAGCCGCAAGCCGGCAGGCUCCAGACCCGCACCCCUGCCCGGCCAGGGACCCUGGAGAGAGGCCAUUUGGGAGCUCCCCUCUCCCAGGAGGGGGAGGUGGCCCCCGCUGUCCUCCUCCCUGAAAACAAAGUCCUUCCUUUGAGCUCUCAGGACACAGGAGCUGAACGCAGCCACACGCAGCCCCGGGGAACCUAGGUGCUGUGGACAGGCGCCUGGGAAUAGGCUCCUGGGGACCGGGCCUGCGGACUGGCUUGGAAGCCUUCCCAGGCCUCAGAGGAGGAGGAAGGCCUGCCGCCCGCCACCCACGGCCCGGCUCCUGUCGUGGGACAGAGCUGGCCUCACUCAAGGACAGGACAGGCAGGCAGCGAGCUGUUUUCUGGGAAGGCCGCCAGUCUUUGUGCCCUCAGGCUUCCGGGCACAGAGGAGGGCGGUCAGCCGAGCAGCCACUGCCGCCCUCAGUCCCCCCGGGGCCAGGCUGGGUGGGCACACCCUGCUCUGCUCUCCCAGCCAGGGGUGGUGGCAGGAAGACUGCAGAGGCAGCUUCUUUCCUCUCCCGCUGCCCCGUAAAGGGGCGUCACGACCCGUGGCCUCCACGCCGGGAGAGCUGGAUGCACGACAGGGCUUCCUGCCCCCCGCCACCUGGGCGCACUGGGCCUAAAACACUGCGCUCUAAUUCCCGGGUCAUGUUGUGCCCCCAGAGCGUGGCCUGCCACUCACACUCAGCCUCAGUCCCCCCUCUCUCUGCCUGUCCACAAGUCUCAGCGAGUAAGACACGGUGUGACACGGAGGCCCAGUGCCCACGCAGGGCUGCCUGAGAUGAAAGGGUGAGGACGACGUGGAGAAGGGGCCUGGGGGACCCGCUGGCCGCCAGAUGAGGCCACAGCCCCGGGCGUCCCCACGUGGCUGAGAAGGAGGCGGCCCUGGGGUAUAACGGGGUCCCAGAGCACAUCUCCACUUCCUCACUGGGUAGAAGGACGGACUCAGAGGACACCAGGGCCGCCCCGCCCCCGCUGCCCAGGCUGUGUGCCUGGGGAGCCGUGUUUCUGUGAAGGUAAAUGGCCUUUGGGCAGGAGGGUGGCAGGUCACAGCCAGGUCCAGGCAGCAGCUGUUGGGGGGACUCAGCCGCCCUGUGAGAGGGACCCUGAAGGGCAUGGCAGGGGCUGUUUCCAGAAGCAUCCUGCGCAGGGAAGUUCGACGGGCUGUAAUGGUUCCGCCCCCACGUCACCUUCUGUCACACCCUAGAGUCCGUCUCCCUCCUCUCCCCGUGCAAACGGAGCCUGCGGAGGCACCCCACACUUCCUGCCAUGCAGCACGUGGCCUUCGGAGUGCUAGGACAAACAAGCGUGUGCCUGGGGAGAGCCCAGCCUGCGUGUGGCGGGCCAGGGCUGCAGGACUGGGUGGUCCCCCGGUCACCACACACGAGUGUGGUGCGUGUCACUCACCCGCCAGCAUGCACAUGGCAUGCACGCGCGUCAGGAGGGGGCGGUGGGGGGCUGCUGGUGGUUCUGGGGCUGGGACCCCAUGGCUUCCGUGGAGCGUCCCGUCCGUCCGCCCAGAACCCGGCCAGCAGACAGCCAGCUGCACACCAGCUGUUAGCUUGAGGAAAACCAGCAACCAGAGUCGUGACGGUAGAAAGCAGUCUUCAUCUUAAGAGGGGCCCGGCCCGGACCCCCAGGAAAGCGCAGCUCUGCGCAGGAGGGCGCUGGGUUCCUUCAGGAAAAUGAAGAGCGACAGCCCA